ACGAACCGUCCAAACGUUAUUCGGAAUUAUUGGGCUUAAAGGGUGCGUAGGCGGCGCGGUAAGUGAGGUGUGAAAUCCCUCGGCUCAACCGAGGAAUUGCGCUUCAUACUGCCGUGCUUGAGGGAGACAGGGGUAAGCGGAACUGAUGGUGGAGCGGUGAAAUGCGUUGAUAUCAUCAGGAACACCAGUGGCGAAGGCGGCUUACUGGGUCUCUUCUGACGCUGAGGCACGAAAGCUAGGGUAGCGAACGGG
rnacentral:rRNA from 1 species